GAUGAACGCUGGCGGCGUGCCUAAUACAUGCAAGUCGAGCGAACAGACGAGGAGCUUGCUCCUCUGACGUUAGCGGCGGACGGGUGAGUAACACGUGGAUAACCUACCUAUAAGACUGGGAUAACUUCGGGAAACCGGAGCUAAUACCGGAUAAUAUAUUGAACCGCAUGGUUCAAUAGUGAAAGACGGUUUUGCUGUAACUUAUAGAUGGAUCCGCGCCGCAUUAGCUGGUUGGUAAGGUAACGGCUUACCAAGGCAACUAGGCGUAGCCGAGCUGAGAGGGUGAUCGGCCACACUGGAACUUGGACACGGUCCAGACUCCUACGGUAGGCAGCAGUAGCGAAUCUUCCGCAAUGGGCGAAAGCCUGACGGAGCAACGCCGCGUCAGUGAUGACGGUCUUCGGAUCGUAAAACUCUGUUAUUAGGGAAGAACAAAUGUGUAAGUAACUAUGCACGUCUUGACGGUACCUAAUCAGAAAGCCACGGCUAACUACGUG
rnacentral:rRNA from 1 species